AUCUACAGGCUUAACACAUGCAAGUCGAGGGGCAUCAGGAAGAAAGCUUGCUUUCUUUGCUGGCGACCGGCGCACGGGUGAGUAACACGUAUCCAACCUGCCCUUUACUCGGGGAUAGCCUUUCGAAAGAAAGAUUAAUACCCGAUAGCAUAAUGAUUCCGCAUGGUUUCAUUAUUAAAGGAUUCCGGUAAAGGAUGGGGAUGCGUUCCAUUAGGUUGUUGGUGAGGUAUCGGCUCACCAAGCCUUCGAUGGAUAGGGGUUCUGAGAGGAAGGUCCCCCACAUUGGAACUGAGACACGGUCCAAACUCCUACGGGAGGCAGCAGUGAGGAAUAUUGGUCAAUGGGCGGUAGCCUGAACCAGCCAAGUAGCGUGAAGGAUGAAGGCUCUAUGGGUCGUAAACUUCUUUUAUAUAAGAAUAAAGUGCAGUAUGUAUACUGUUUUGUAUGUAUUAUAUGAAUAAGGAUCGGCUAACUCCGUGCCAGCAGCCGCGGUAAUACGGAGGAUCCGAGCGUUAUCCGGAUUUAUUGGGUUUAAAGGGAGCGUAGGUGGACUGGUAAGUCAGUUGUGAAAGUUUGCGGCUCAACCGUAAAAUUGCAGUUGAUACUGUCAGUCUUGAGUACAGUAGAGGUGGGCGGAAUUCGUGGUGUAGCGGUGAAAUGCUUAGAUAUCACGAAGAACUCCGAUUGCGAAGGCAGCUCACUGGACUGCAACUGACACUGAUGCUCGAAAGUGUGGGUAUCAAACAGGAUUAGAUACCCUGGUAGUCCACACAGUAAACGAUGAAUACUCGCUGUUUGCGAUAUACAGUAAGCGGCCAAGCGAAAGCAUUAAGUAUUCCACCUGGGGAGUACGCCGGCAACGGUGAAACUCAAAGGAAUUGACGGGGGCCCGCACAAGCGGAGGAACAUGUGGUUUAAUUCGAUGAUACGCGAGGAACCUUACCCGGGCUUAAAUUGCAGUGGAAUGAUGUGGAAACAUGUCAGUGAGCAAUCACCGCUGUGAAGGUGCUGCAUGGUUGUCGUCAGCUCGUGCCGUGAGGUGUCGGCUUAAGUGCCAUAACGAGCGCAACCCUUAUCUUUAGUUACUAACAGGUUAUGCUGAGGACUCUAGAGAGACUGCCGUCGUAAGAUGUGAGGAAGGUGGGGAUGACGUCAAAUCAGCACGGCCCUUACGUCCGGGGCUACACACGUGUUACAAUGGGGGGUACAGAAGGCAGCUAGCGGGUGACCGUAUGCUAAUCCCAAAAUCCUCUCUCAGUUCGGAUCGAAGUCUGCAACCCGACUUCGUGAAGCUGGAUUCGCUAGUAAUCGCGCAUCAGCCACGGCGCGGUGAAUACGUUCCCGGGCCUUGUACACACCGCCCGUCAAGCCAUGGGAGCCGGGGGUACCUGAAGUACGUAACCGCAAGGAUCGUCCUAGGGUAAAACUGGUGACUG
rnacentral:rRNA from 1 species